rnacentral:tRNA from 2 species
GGGCCUAUAGCUCAGUUGGUCAGAGCACCUCGUUUACACCGAGGGGGCCGGGGGUUCGAGUCCCUCUGGGCCCA